rnacentral:rRNA from 1 species
AUUGAACGCUGGCGGCAUGCCUUACACAUGCAAGUCGAACGGCAGCACGGGAGCAAUCCUGGCGGCGAGUGGCGAACGGGUGAGUAAAGUAUCGGAACGUGCCCAGUCGUGGGGGAUAACGUAGCGAAAGUUACGCUAAUACCGCAUACGAUCUAUGGAUGAAAGCGGGGGAUCGCAAGACCUCGCGCGAUUGGAGCGGCCGAUAUCAGAUUAGGUAGUUGGUGGGGUAAAGGCUCACCAAGCCGACGAUCUGUAGCUGGUCUGAGAGGACGACCAGCCACACUGGGACUGAGACACGGCCCAGACUCCUACGGGAGGCAGCAGUGGGGAAUUUUGGACAAUGGGCGCAAGCCUGAUCCAGCCAUGCCGCGUGCAGGAUGAAGGCCUUCGGGUUGUAAACUGCUUUUGUACGGAACGAAAAGGUUUGACUUAAUACGUUGGACUCAUGACGGUACCGUAAGAAUAAGCACCGGCUAACUACGUGCCAGCAGCCGCGGUAA